rnacentral:rRNA from 1 species
UACGUAGGGUGCAAGCGUUAAUCGGAAUUACUGGGCGUAAAGCGUGCGCAGGCGGUUAUGCAAGACAGAGGUGAAAUCCCCGGGCUCAACCUGGGAACUGCCUUUGUGACUGCAUAGCUAGAGUACGGGUAGAGGGGGAUGGAAUUCCGCGUGUAGCAGUGAAAUGCGUAGAUAUGCGGAGGAACACCGAUGGCGAAGGCAAUCCCCUGGACCUGUACUGACGCUCAUGCACGAAAGCGUGGGGAGCAAACAGG